rnacentral:rRNA from 1 species
GCUAAAUACUCCCUAGUGACCGAUAGUGAACCAGUACCGUGAGGGAAAGGUGAAAAGCACCCCGGAAGGGGAGUGAAAGAGAUCCUGAAACCGUGUGCCUACAAGUAGUCAGAGCCCGUUAACGGGGGAUGGCGUGCCUUUUGUAGAAUGAACCGGCGAGUUACGAUCCCGUGCAAGGUUAAGCAGAAGAUGCGGAGCCGCAGCGAAAGCGAGUCUGAAUAGGGCGAAUUGAGUACGUGGUCGUAGACCCGAAACCAGGUGAUCUACCCAUGUCCAGGGUGAAGUUCAGGUAACACUGAAUGGAGG